GUCUAUGGCCAUACCACCCUGAAUGUGCCUGAUCUUGUCUGAUCUUGGAAGCUAAGCUGGAUCUGGCCUGGUUAGCUCUUGGAUGGGAGACCACCUAAGAAUACGAGGAGCUGUAUGCA
rnacentral:rRNA from 1 species